rnacentral:rRNA from 1 species
AUUGAACGCUGGCGGCAGGCCUAACACAUGCAAGUCGAACGAGUGGCGGACGGGUGAGUAAUGUUUGGGAAUCUGGCUUAUGGAGGGGGAUAACGACGGGAAACUGUCGCUAAUACCGCGAACCCUAGGAUGCGCCCAUGUGGGUUUAGGUUGUUGGUGGGGUAAUGGCCUACCAAGCCGACGAUCUCUAGCUGGUCUGAGAGGAUGACCAGCCACACCGGAACUGAGACACGGCCCAGACUCCUACGGGAGGCAGCAGUGGGGAAUAUUGCGCAAUGGGGGCAAGCCUGACGCAGCCAUGCCGCGUGAGUGAAGAAGGCCUUCGGGUUGUAAAGUACUUUCAGGGGCGAGGCGUUAAUCGCAGAAGAAGCACCGGCUAACUCCGUGCCAGCAGCCGCGGUAAUUC